rnacentral:ncRNA from 1 species
GUUGUUGCCAUGGUAAUCCUGCUCAGUACGAGAGGAACCAAAGGUUCAGACAUUUGGUGUAUGUGCUUGGCUGAGGAGCCAAUGGGGCGAAGCUACUAUCUGUGGGAUUAUGACUGAACGCCUCUAAGUCAGAAUCCUGCCCAGGCGGAACGAU